CCAGGUUCGGACCAUAGGCCGUUUAGGCUCCGUAGGCACAUCGCAACUGCGGCCCCGAUCGCUGCGAUGAGAGCGCACUUCGGCAUGGUUUCGGGUAGGGUGUUCUUGGGAGCGCGGAGCAGAGACCCGGCGUUCUGACGCCCGCUAUCCCCAUCCGAUGAGCGGACCGGCCUCGCAGGGAAGCGACGACGGAACCGUGAUCUACCGUGGAACUCUACCUGGCUACCAGGAUGCCAGCUCAGGGUCCCGGGGCACCAUUCCUACAAUGUCUUCUUCGUGGGAUGAGGAAUUUGGCGCCGGCGCCACGGCCGAGGUGCAGCGGGCGCUGGACGCUGUGGACGGCUUCCUGUACGAGGGCACCUGUGUGGGGGUGCUCGGAGGGGAGCUGGAAGCCGAGUGCCAGCGCUGGGCAGACGCCUUCGUGCACCUGAGGGCCGUCGGCCGUGGAAUUACACCUCCGACGUGUGUUGAGCCUCGAAGUGCAUCCCCAAAGGAAAACAACUCUGGAUCUGCACAAAGCAACUGCGAGGCGGAGCCUGCCAUUUCACCAACGGAGGACCCACUCAAAGACGAGGUGGCCGAUCGUCUCUGUGCCCUUUUCUGGCCCGAGGUAACCGGGCAGCACCGCUCGCCCCUGCAGCACUUGCACUGCUCGAAGCCCCGGGCACGCACUGCACUUGAUGCACACUCUGCGGUUGAACUGCGGCACCCGUGACAUCUCCACGACCGGUGGAACUCUGGCUCAGGCUGUGUAAGGAACGACCUGUAAGCAAGCACUCAGGGGCUGGGAAACUGCACGGCCGUUCAGGCAGGGAGGCGCCGGGACUGGAGGGGGUCCUCACAGUGGAGCCCAAGCUGCUCGAAAAUCGCCACGUGGGAGGGUACCAUGACGCCGGCCCCCCUGGGAUCCCGCCGGGAAGGUCGUGGUCCGACGGUUCCUCUCUGCCGCCUCUGAGCUCGGAGGGCAGCCGCAGCUCGAGCAACCUGCCCGCAUCGUCGACAUCCAGCCGGCAAGGGACCAGCAGCGGCUCUUCAGUCUCCAGGCUGCCUCCUAUUGGCUCAUUGUCCCUGGGAAGCCUGUGCCUCGAGGGACGCCGGAUGUCUGUGACCUCCAGGCCCCCAACGAGGAGUGCCAGGGGCUCGCAUCUGCCCAAGCACUGAAUGUCCCGUGAGAAGACUGUCAGCAGCGUCGGACGAGUGAGCAACGCUUGCCACACGGCCACAUGUAGGAUCCUCUACAGCCUGCAGUGCACUUGCCAGUUUUCUCGCCGUCCGGCGUGGUGUCACAUACCGUCGGGUGGCAGUGGACUUUCUUUUCUCUUCGUCGCUGUGGACAAGUUCUGACGGACUUGCGCUUCCCUGGUUGCCUUUUGGGGGGUUGAUGACUGUUGUCCCAAGACGGGUUGAUCUUCUUGCCACUCUUGCGAAUGUCGUUCUUUCUUGUGGGGAGGAGGGGGCUUUGAGGUUUCUUCUUUUGUUUUGUGUGUCUGCCCCUGCUUCAGGCCACUAAACAAGCUUGGCAGCAUCGUUCCACGGUGCUCGUGCGAUGUAACUGCGAAGCAAAACAAUCGGGUUUCCGCAGUGCGAAGAGCAGCAACUAGGUGCACCUCGAAGGAUCCCAACGAAGUUCUGGGCCACUUUGAAUUGUUUGUUGAGUGCUGUCAUUGAUGGUUAGUAUGGCUGUGCUCUAUACCCAGGAUUGUGUGCAGCAUUGUCAGCGGAAUGGGUGUAGCUGCGACUUAAAGAAAGGGCUUUGGUUGGUUUGUCUGGUGUUUAGUAGAGCUGGUUCUUAUGUCUUGUGUGACAUUGUAGCACGCCAGGUGCAGCUCGCAGACCCACAAACACACACACUUCACAUAGUCGGUAUGCACCACCAUGCCAAACUUAUGUGUGGUUCCGAAAUGUGCACCUUUAUCUUUUGCCCCCCGUUUUACUUUUGAUAUCCUUCGGGAUAUUGCUAUGCCCUCUGCAGUAUGUAAAUGGGACCUUUCAGUGCAUAUUUGAACUUGAAUAUCUGUUACUCGUUUCUUUGGACAUUGCACCUUGGGAAAGUUAGAUGAAAUUAUGGUUGUAUUUUUUUGUUUAUCCUUCCACGAUUGUCCUCACAUUGUACAAUAGCCACGUUUGAUUUACUUACACCUCCUGCACCGGUACAGAAAAGUGUAGGCUGGUGUACCUCCGGCCAUAUCUAAAUACACUUACCGGAUCCAGUAGGCUGCCCUACACUUUUCUGCACUGGUGCAGGAGGUGUAAGUAUAUCGAACGCAGCUACUGUUCCUUGGUAAGAAUAUUUUUGUAUCUUCGUGUACUUUUUUUUUAUUGCAAUUUUUUUUAGAAAUUGCACCUUGGGAAACGUGAGAUAAAAUUAUGGUUGUAUUUCUUUUUUUUUUUUUUUUCACAUUGUGCAAUGUUUUUUGGUAAGAAUACUUUUGUAGCUUCGUGUGUGUAUUAUUUAUUUAUUAUUAUUUUUUUUUUCUUUUCAGAUGAGAUUGUUGGUAUUAUUCGAGUCAGAAAAUCGCCCGAGACAGAUUAUAUUCCGUUUCCGAAUUAAAACUUGUUUCAAACCA